UACGUAGGUGACAAGCGUUGUCCGGAUUUACUAGGGCGUGAAGAGCGCGCAGGCGGUCGAUCAAGUCGAGUGUGAAAGCCCCGGCUCAACUGGGGAGGGUCAUUCGAUACUGAGUCGACUCGAAGGCAGGAGAGGGUAGUGGAAUUCCCGGUGUAGUGGUGAAAUGCGUAGAUAUCGGGAGGAACACCAGUGGCGGAAGGCGGGUCUCUGGGCCGAUACUGACGCUGAGGUG
rnacentral:rRNA from 1 species